UAAGCCAAAGGCAGACACUUAACCACCUGAGCCGCCCAGGUGCCCCUGUUUUCAAGGCUUAAAAGGGAUGACAUGUCGGACAUAAUGACUGGCCCCUCACAGGCACUUACUGCACAGUAACUGGUGCCUCAUCAAAAUGACAUUUCCCCUGGCGGGUCUCUGGUCACAUUCUGCUAGAAGCAGCAGAUGCCAGGAUUGUUCUGGGAUCAUCCUCAGAGCCAUUGCCACAAGGUGUUCACAGUAACUUGAGUGGGUAUCCUACAAAACAAGAUUUCUUAUCAGCCCCAGGAAAUGUAAAUAUUCCCCAGGAUCUUGGUUGUGACUCAAGGAUCAUGAGGCAUUAUGAACUCCGGGUGCCUCCUCCUCCUCCUCAUUGCCCCCAGGACCAGACAUCAGCAGCCUCUUCCUUGCUGGCUAGAUUGACUUGGCAUCUGGAAGAAAUGUGUCUGAGGAAACCAGUGUGCAGAAGAGGUUACCCUUGCUGUCCAGGCUGAUGGAGCUGUGAAUGUGGGACCAACUGGGAAACAGGAGAAGGAAGGGUAGCACUUUAUAGUCCCUACAGUGCCAUCUGGCUGUCCCCACCCAUUCUUGUGACCGCUAGAAGGAUCCCUAGGGGCUUCAGACCUGAACAGAGGUGGCCCUGGGCUCAGAUCUGGCCUUCAAACAGGAGAUGACAAGACUAUGGUUCUUUGGACAAAGUGCUGCCUUAGACGGCUUUGUAAGCUAUAAGGUCUGGGUCAAAUGGGGCACC